rnacentral:rRNA from 1 species
UGGUGACCAUAGCGAAGAGGAAAUACCCGUUCCCGUUCCGAACACGGAAGUCAAGCUCUUUUGCGCCGAUGAUACUGCCUUACGGUGGGAAAGUAGGAAGUUGC